AUUGAACGCUGGCGGCAUGCUUUACACAUGCAAGUCGAACGGCAGCGCGGGCUUCGGCCUGGCGGCGAGUGGCGAACGGGUGAGUAAUGCAUCGGAACGUGCCCAGUAGUGGGGGAUAGCCCGGCGAAAGCCGGAUUAAUACCGCAUACGACCUGAGGGUGAAAGCGGGGGACCGAAAGGCCUCGCGCUAUUGGAGCGGCCGAUGUCGGAUUAGCUAGUUGGUGGGGUAAAGGCUUACCAAGGCGACGAUCCGUAGCUGGUCUGAGAGGGCGACCAGCCACACUGGGACUGAGACACGGCCCAGACUCCUACGGGAGGCAGCAGUGGGGAAUUUUGGACAAAGGGGGCAACCCUGAUCCAGCCAUGCCGCGUGCGGGAAGAAGGCCUUCGGGUUGUAAACCGCUUUUGUUCGGGAAGAAAUCCUCUGGGCUAAUACCCCGGGGGGAUGACGGUACCGGAAGAAUAAGCACCGGCUAACUACGUG
rnacentral:rRNA from 1 species